CAGCCGCCGCGGUAAUACGGAGGGUGCAAGCGUUACUCGGAAUCACUGGGCGUAAAGGACGCGUAGGCGGAUUAUCAAGUCUCUUGUGAAAUCUAACGGCUUAACCGUUAAACUGCUUGGGAAACUGAUAAUCUAGAGUAAGGGAGAGGCAGAUGGAAUUCUUGGUGUAGGGGUAAAAUCCGUAGAGAUCAAGAAGAAUACCCAUUGCGAAAGCGAUCUGCUGGAACUUAACUGACGCUAAUGCGUGAAAGCGUGGGGAGCAAACAGGAUUAGAUACCCCCGUAGUCCCUGUCUCUUAUAC
rnacentral:rRNA from 1 species